UACGGGGGGGGCAAGCGUUGUUCGGAAUUACUGGGCGUAAAGGGUUCGUAGGUGGCUUGCUAAGUCAGACGUGAAAUCCCUCAGCUUAACUGGGGAACUGCGUCUGAGACUGGCAAGCUUGAGUGCAGGAGAGGAAUGCGGAAUUCCAGGUGUAGCGGUGAAAUGCGUAGAUAUCUGGAGGAACACCGGUGGCGAAGGCGGCGUUCUGGACUGCAACUGACACUGAGGAACGAAAGCCAGGGGAGCAAACGGG
rnacentral:rRNA from 1 species